rnacentral:rRNA from 1 species
CUACGGGCUGCAGCAGGCGAGAAAACUUUGCAAUGUGCGAAAGCACGACAAGGUUAAUCCGAGUGGUUUGUGCUAAACGAACCUUUUGACAGUCCUAGAAACACUGUUGAAUAAGGGGUGGGCAAGUUCUGGUGUCAGCCGCCGCGGUAAAACCAGCACCUCAAGUGGUCAGGAUGAUUAUUGGGCCUAAAGCAUCCGUAGCCGGCUCUGUAAGUUUUCGGUUAAAUCUGUACGCUCAACGUACAGGCUGCCGGGAAUACUGCAGAGCUAGGGAGUGGGAGAGGUAGACGGUACUCGGUAGGAAGGGGUAAUAUCCGUUGAUCUAUUGAUGACCACCUGUGGCGAAGGCGGUCUACCAGAACACGUCCGACGGUGAGGGAUGAAAGCUGGGGGAGCAAACCGGAUUAGAUACCCCCGUAGUC